CGGAGGUAUUCGGGGAGGACAGGUGGUGCGAUGGUUGUCGUCAGCUCGUGUCGUGAGAUGUUGGUUAAGUCCCGCAACGAGCGCAACCCUAUUGCUAGUUACCAUCAUUAAGUUGGGGACUCUAGCGAGACUGCCAGUGAUAAACUGGAGGAAGGUGGGGGAUGACGUCAAAUCAUCAUGCCCCUUAUGACCUGGGCUACAAACGUGAUACAAUGGCUGGAACAAAGGGAUGCGAAGCAGUGAUGUGGAGCGAAACCCAUAAAAACAGUCUCAGUUCGGAUUGAAGUCUGCAACUCGACUUCAUGAAGUCGGAAUCGCUAGUAAUCGCGGAUCAGAACGCCGCGGUGAAUACGUUCUCGGGGUUU
rnacentral:rRNA from 1 species